CCUACGGGAGGCAGCAGUGAGGGAUAUUGGUCAAUGGGCGCGAGCCUGAACCAGCCAAGUAGCGUGAAGGAUGACUGCCCUACGGGUUGUAAACUUCUUUUAUAAGGGAAUAAAGUGAGGCGCGUGUGCCUUUUUGUAUGUACUUUAUGAAUAAGGAGCGGCUAACUCCGUGCCAGCAGCCGCGGUAAUACGGAGGAUCCGAGCGUUAUCCGGAUUUAUUGGGUUUAAAGGGAGCGUAGAUGGGUUGUUAAGUCAGUUGUGAAAGCCUGCGGCUCAACCGUAAAAUUGCAAUUGAUACUGGCAGUCUUGAGUACAGUUGAGGUAGGCGGAAUUCGUGGUGUAGCGGUGAAAUGCGUAGAUAUCACGAAGAACUCCGAUGGCGAAGGCAGCUUACUAAACUGCCACUGACAUUGAGGCUCGAAAGUGUGGGUAUCAAACAGGAUUAGAUACCCGAGUAGUC
rnacentral:rRNA from 1 species